rnacentral:rRNA from 1 species
AAUGAACGUUGGCGGCGUGGAUUAGGCAUGCAAGUCGUACGGGUCGGUGUAGCAAUACAACGGCAAGUGGCGAAAGGGAGAGUAACGCGUAGAUACCUACCCUCUGGUCGGGGAUACCGCGGCAUAACCGCAAGUAAUACCCGAUAAUAUCUCCGGAUCAAAGGUGUGAUUCCGCCGGAGGAGGGGUCUGCGUUUCAUCAGCUUGUUGGUGAGGUAAUGGCUCACCAAGGCUAAGACGAAUACGGGGUGUGAGAGCAUGCCCCCGCUCACUGGGACUGAGACACUGCCCAGACACCGACGGGUGGCUGCAGUCGAGAAUCUUCGGCAAUGGGCGCAAGCCUGACCGAGCGACGCCGCGUGCGGGAUGAAGGCCUUCGGGUUGUAAACCGCUGUCGAGGGGGAUAAAGUGCAGGUGGGUACUCCCAUCUGUUUGAUAGAUCCCUGGAGGAAGCAUGGGCUAAGUUCGUGCCAGCAGCCGCCGUAAUAC